rnacentral:rRNA from 1 species
GUGAGACAGUUCGGUCUCUAUCUAUCGUGGGCGUUAGAAAUUUGCGAGGCUCUGACACUAGUACGAGAGGACCGUGUUGGACAGACCUCUGGUUUACCGGUUGUACCGCCAGGUGCAUCGCCGGGUAGCCACGUCUGGGCAAGGAUAAGUGCUGAAAGCAUCUAAGCACGAAGCCUACCUCAAGAUUAAAUUUCUUUAUAAGGGUGGUUGUAGACUACGACCUUGAUAGGCUGCAGGUGUAAAGGUGGUAACAUCAAAGCCGAGCAGUACUAAUUACCCGUAAUCUUUUUUUC